AUACUUACCUGGCAGGGGAGAUGCCAGGAUCAUGAAGGUGGCUUUCUAGGUGAGGCUCAUACAUUGCACUCCAGAUGUGCUGACCCCUGUGUUUUCCUAAAAUGCAGGAAACUCGAAUGCUUAAUUGGUGGUAGUGGGGAACUGUUUGGGCUUUCCCUU
ensembl:snRNA U1 U1 spliceosomal RNA